UGCCAUGAUGGUGUAAUUUGCGUCUGACCCUGUCAACAGUGACAGUUGCCUGCUGUCUCUAAGCUGUUAUAGGGUAUUGAUGAGUCUUAGUUUCUGAGCA